rnacentral:lncRNA from 1 species
AAGGCAGAAUUAAUUGGCUGUGGAAGAGAAACCUAUAUUCAGCUGCAGCAGUGCCCUUGCAGAGAAGUGAUUUUCAAUGGGCUCACUUAACACUAUUUUAAUUGUUUUAAAAUGUUUCUAUGGGCUUUUGGAGGUCAGAAGCUGCUAAGUACUGAAGUCUUCCCCAGGGCUGUAGUCUGCGGGUUGGACAAAGGAAACCUGGAGAUUGUGAAAGGGAGCCUGGGAUGAACAGAAAUGAGGGACUUCUGGAAGCUCAUCUAGGACUAUGACUGGACACUCCUGAAAAGUUAUGUCUAUAGAGACCGAUGGACCAGUGAUUAGAAUUUCAGUACAGUAGGGAGACUGGAAUGUUUCUGGGCCAGAGGCUAACUACCUUCUGUUGGGCUAGUUCUAGCCCUCUGGAGCAGUCAUUCCUUGCUGAUCUCUGCAAGGCCUUUAACAUAAUAGAUUAAAAACCUUUGCAGACUCACAGUCUUCGGUCAGUCCCAAAGCUAAGAAUGUCAUCCGAUAGCAUCUUGGGUGUAUAGAAAAGUCUCCCCCAUCUUGCUGUAACCACCUCUCUGAUGUAACCACCAAUAUAGUUUAAACUUGCCUUGACUUAUGUCUUUCUUUGUUCUGCAAAACUAGGAAGACUUCAUGAAACGGCUUCUACAUUGGAACAUGAGAUUUGGGGUAGUCUACAUCUGUUCAUGGGCAUGAUCAUUUCAAAUGGCUCCAAAAUAAACUGUCUUUUAUUCCCUUUAA